rnacentral:lncRNA from 1 species
UCCUAAGUAUUUAUCUGGUAGUCAAAAACGUAAAAAGAGAAAAAGAAUUGAAGAAUCAACAAAGGCUAAUAGUGGUUCUCUAGAUAAGUUUUUCCAAAAAAAACCUAAAGUUCCUUCUCAAAAUCAAAAUAAUGAUGAUAUUCCUGAUAAUUUGGGUGUUGAUGUCGAAGGAGAUCAAAUUAAUGAUGUUAAUGUUGAUAAUGUUAAUUUCGAUGGAGAUCGUGUUGAUGUUGAUGAUGGUAAUGACGAUGGUGAUAACAUUGAAGAUGAUGGUGAUGAUGAUGAUGAUGAUGAUGAUGAUGAUGAUGGUGAUGAUGAUGAUGUUAAUGUUAAUAGUAAUAAUGUUGAUAUAUUCGAUCCAAGAAAUUGGGAUGGACUAAGCACAAACAUGGUGAAACGUUUGGUAGAGAAAGGUCCUAAAUACUAUUGAUAAGGGUCAACCUGAUAGAUUUUCUAGACAGUUUUCUGCAACUAUGUAUACUAGAACUCUGCCAAAUAAACAGACAUGUAAC